rnacentral:lncRNA from 1 species
UAUAGGUAUAAGUAUCCCUUAGACCUGAGAUCGUCUCAGUGACUUGCAAGCAACUCACUGUGCUUUGGUACUGGACUAACUGAAUUUCUCAUUCAGAGAUGGAAGGCUUCUGGGCACAGUCAAGUACUUGCGAAGUCAGAGUGUGAUCGAGAUGGGAUUGACCACUCCAAGAGUUGGAGAAGAAUGAGUCGCUGUAUUUCAAUUUAGCAAAACCUUGGCCAGGGUAAUCCAUCAGAUGGAUUUGAUAUUUUGAAAUACAAUGUGGACAAC